GUAGUCUCGCACAGAUGCAUAUCAAUAAGCGGAGGAAAAGAAACUAACAAGGAUUCCCCUAGUAACGGCGAGUGAAGCGGGAAGAGCUCAAAUUUGAAAUCUUAAAGGGUUUCCCUUUACGAAUUGUAGUUUAAAGAAGUGUUUUCUGUUGAGGUUUUGGUAAAAGUUCUUUGGAAUAGGACAUCAUAGAGGGUGAGAAUCCCGUAUUUGACCUUUACUUUCAACUUUGUGAUACACUUUCAAAGAGUCGGAUUGUUUGGGGAAUACAGUCCAAAAUGGGUGGUAAAUUUCAUCUAAAGCUAAAUAUUGGCGAGAGACCGAUAGCGAACAAGUACCGUGAGGGAAAGAUGAAAAGAACUUUGAAAAGAGAGUUAAACAGUACGUGAAAUUGUCAAAAGGGAAGCGUUUGACACCAGUGUUGUUUUUCUGAAAAUCAAUUAAAGAACUGUUUAUGCUAAGUUGUUUAGACUUUAUCAGCUAUCUGCUUAGUUUUGAGCUUUUCUUUAAUGCACUUUUCAGUUAACAAGUCAACAUCAAUUUCUUUUGCUGUAAAAAAGCUUGAGGAAGGUGGCUUGAGAUUCGUCUUAAGUGUUUAUAGCCUCUUGCCUAUGCAGUCGGAGAGAUUGAGGUCUGCAGCGUAGAUCCUUCGGGGCUAAAUGCAUUUGUGCUAAGUUAUAGGCAUUUUAUAGACAACUUGUUGACUAUGAUUUGUCUUGUAGCUUACUCGCUUAUGUUAUUUUACCUACGCUUAGGAUGUUGACGCAUGAGAUAUACGC
rnacentral:rRNA from 1 species